UACAGAGGUCUCAAGCGUUGUUCGGAUUCAUUGGGCGUAAAGGGUGCGUAGGCGGCGCGGUAAGUCGGGUGUGAAAUCUUGGAGCUUAACUCCGAAACUGCAUUCGAUACUGCCGUGCUUGAGGACUGGAGAGGAGACUGGAAUUUACGGUGUAGCGGUGAAAUGUGUAGAUAUCGUAAGGAAGACCAGUGGCGAAGGCGGGUCUCUGGACAGUUCCUGACGCUGAAGCACGAAGGCCAGGGGAGCAAACGGG
rnacentral:rRNA from 1 species